GAACUUGGGAAAACACCAUCCGGCUCAAUUCUAUUACAGCCUUCUCCUCCAUGCGUUUGGGACAAAACAGAGAACAGCAUUCACUAGAAUCAAGAAGUCCCAUUGACAACAACUUGUAUAAGAUUCCUGACCUUUACCCAAGAGAAAAAUUUUAGAAAAACUUGAAAAUGGGGUCAUCUCAAUAACAUUCAUUAAUGGUGGGUCCAAUUUUAACUUCACCAUGGUCCCCAUUUAGGGUACCCUACACCACAAAUUCCAGGCCAAAAAUAGGAUUCAUACACAUCAAUUUGUUCUUCCAUUCCUAACAAGCUCCUUCACUUCCAACCUAAUCACCCCAAAAGAAGAAAAAAGAAGAAGAC
rnacentral:misc_RNA from 1 species